CCGCCUGUUUACCAAAAACAUCACCUCUAGCAUUACUAGUAUUAGAGGCAAUGCCUGCCCAGUGACACCAGUUUAACGGCCGCGGUAUUCUGACCGUGCAAAGGUAGCAUAAUCACUUGUUCUCCAAAUAAGGACUUGUAUGAAUGGCCACACGAGGGUUUUACUGUCUCUUACUUCCAAUCAGUGAAAUUGACCUUCCCGUGAAGAGGCGGGAAUAAAAAAAUAAGACGAGAAGACCCUAUGGAGCUUUAAUUAACUAUUCCAAAAGUUAAACAAUUCAACCACAAAGGGAUAAAACAUAACUUAACAUGGACUAGCAAUUUCGGUUGGGGUGACCUCGGAGUACAAAAAACCCUCCGAGUGAUUUUAAUCUAGACAAACCAGUCAAAAUAACCAUAACAUCACUUAUUGAUCCAAAACUUUGAUCAACGGAACAAGUUACCCUAGGGAUAACAGCGCAAUCCUAUUCUAGAGUUCCUAUCGACAAUAGGGUUUACGACCUCGAUGUUGGAUCAGGACACCCAAAUGGUGCAACCGCUAUUAAAGGUUCGUUUGUUCAACGAUUAAAGUCCUACGUGAUCUGAGUUCAAACCGGAGCAA
rnacentral:rRNA from 1 species